UGCGACGUUGCCUCUUUCUAUGGUUUUCACAGGCUUACAAAAAAGAAACAGGUAUUGACUGGAAAGUUCUCUCCCUGUUCUCUCAGCAAUGGCUGCUGAGCGUGGUGGCCUUAAGUGGCGUAAUGGUUUGUAUGAUUAGAUGAGAAAAUGGUACAUUACAUCAAGCAAAUAGUGCUGUUUUGGGGCCUCUUCCUAUCAAUGUUUAUUAUGAGUAUAGGAAUCGAAGUGAACUCUGGAGGUAAGAAAGAUUGUAUAGUGAAAAAUAGGGCUGUAACCAGUACAAACACAAAGAAAUUGGAUCAAUAGAUAGGAUUGUUUGAAUUUGAUGAAUGACUGUCUUUGCAGUCAAAUAAUUGGACUGAUUUUGGUUUUGUAUCUGGCUUUAUGAUUUAAAAGGCGGGGAUGGUUAUGAGCAGAGCGGAAUGGCUGGAAGAGCUUGAAACUUUUACCGAGAAACGGUAUCUGUUUGCUGGUCGAUUAUUAUUGAACAUGGCAGUACAAUCCUCUUCUCCAAAAGUAAUUUGCAGAAGAAACGGUAGCUGAGAGAUUGAAGAUAAACAAGUGAAGUGAUUGAAGUUCAUUUUGAUGCCACUGAAAAGCAAGUUGUUUCCCUCCUAUGGUGUUUUAUCUGUUAACUUUUCAUCUUGAAGGCUCUUGUAGUUAAUUAAGUUAAUUUUGGUGUUAGUGAAACAUUUGAUGAUUUUGAUGUCUUCGCCGUGUAAUUAAUUUUGACCAUGGAAAUGGGAUGUAACUAGAAAUUAAUUAUCAAGUCACUGAAACAACGAAUAGUCUGCAGUGGUAUCCCUCCUGGAUUUGGUUUACUCAUCACAUUUGUAGACUCCAGAAUGCUACUUUUUGCAGUUAAUUAAGGUGAGAUUACAUUGACAACUAUAUCCUUGAAAGCAGUGUAUGCAUAUAUUAACUUCAAUAUAAGAAUAAAAAAUUAAGAGAAGAGGAGUAUUAAAUCUUUUAAUUCACUAUAUUAGAGAUACUUAUUUUGCUUAUCAAUGAAGGGUAUGUUACUGAUAAGCAUAUCUUUUUGCCUGACUCUAACUUUACCAGUACAUCGCCGUUUUAUAAUAUUACUGUUUUACUUGCUUUAAUAGUGGUAGUUAAAUAGUGUUUGAGAGACAAUUAGAAGAUAAUUUUGACUCUAGCGAAGUGUGCAUUGAUACCUUUCUGAAUUUGGUUUACUGUUUGCAUGUAUAAACUAUGGAAAAUUACACUGCAACUAAUCAAGGUGAGAACAUAUAGUAGAAUUAAUAUUAACUGCAUGUUAUUAAUUUGUUGUCAAUUUUCGCAACAAAAGACUUCCUGGAACAUUGUGCAUGUAGUGGCAAACAUAUAUUCUUUUUAUAAUAAAUGUUGAACUACCCGCUAUUUCCGCAAAGUUGCAGAGACCAGUCUUAAUUUUUUUCUGAAAAGUCCCAUUUAGCGGUUAUAGCGCCACUACAUUAUGGAUUCUGUCUCUCAUUACAAUUCAUAGAAAAGUUUAAUUUGAACAUAAAAUAAUAAAUGUUGUCUUGGUGAUAUGAUUUUCCAUCUACGCUCUAUAGUUUUUCCUUCACAGUAAUCUGUAUAUCGACAGCAUGUGCAUCUUGUCAUCUUGCCAUUUUGUAUUAAAAGCGACCCGACGUCGCCAUUUUUAAAAUUUUGCAGUCUUGAUUAUCGGUGCGUAUUAUCAUUGUAUUUCAUAUUUUUAUUGAUAAAUAGUGUAGUUUAUUCAUUUUUAUUCUCUGUUUUUACAGAUUGACGAUAACAUCAAGAGUGGAAGGGUGUUCAUUUUGAUGUUACUGAAAAAGAACUUUAUCUGCCGUGUCGUUCUACCUGUUAACAUUUCUUAGAAAAUAUUGCAGUUAGGACAGUGGAUGUGCGUUUGGUCCUAAAGAAAGCAUGAAAGUGCCUUUUGUCCGUUGGAAAUGGAGGCAGUGUGCUCUUGCUAAGGGAAUGAUAUAUAUGAAAAUGAACCGAUUGUCCAAAUUAGAACGAAUUGGCGUUAAUUUUGGUGCUACUGAAACAUUCGAUGUUCUUGAUGUCUUCGCCUUGUAACAUUGUGCAGUUA